rnacentral:rRNA from 1 species
GUCGAACGAGCUUCCGUUGAAUGACGUGCUUGCACUGAUUUCAACAAUGAAGCGAGUGGCGAACUGGUGAGUAACACGUGGGGAAUCUGCCCAGAAGCAGGGGAUAACACUUGGAAACAGGUGCUAAUACCGUAUAACAACAAAAUCCGCAUGGAUUUUGUUUGAAAGGUGGCUUCGGCUAUCACUUCUGGAUGAUCCCGCGGCGUAUUAGUUAGUUGGUGAGGUAAAGGCCCACCAAGACGAUGAUACGUAGCCGACCUGAGAGGGUAAUCGGCCACAUUGGGACUGAGACACGGCCCAAACUCCUACGGGAGGCAGCAGUAGGGAAUCUUCCACAAUGGACGAAAGUCUGAUGGAGCAAUGCCGCGUGAGUGAAGAAGGGUUUCGGCUCGUAAAACUCUGUUGUUAAAGAAGAACACCUUUGAGAGUAACUGUUCAAGGGUUGACGGUAUUUAACCAGAAAGCCACGGCUAACUACGUGCCAGCAGCCGCGGUAAUACGUAGGUGGCAAGCGUUGUCCGGAUUUAUUGGGCGUAAAGCGAGCGCAGGCGGUUUUUUAAGUCUGAUGUGAAAGCCUUCGGCUUAACCGGAGAAGUGCAUCGGAAACUGGGAGACUUGAGUGCAGAAGAGGACAGUGGAACUCCAUGUGUAGCGGUGGAAUGCGUAGAUAUAUGGAAGAACACCAGUGGCGAAGGCGGCUGUCUAGUCUGUAACUGACGCUGAGGCUCGAAAGCAUGGGUAGCGAACAGGAUUAGAUACCCUGGUAGUCCAUGCCGUAAACGAUGAGUGCUAAGUGUUGGAGGGUUUCCGCCCUUCAGUGCUGCAGCUAACGCAUUAAGC